UCACCUUUUAUUGGAAAGGAUGAAUGAGCCAGCGAUAUUCUGAGUUUGGUACAUAUUGAUGUAUUUACACUCAUGAAUAUUAGUGCCAGAAGUGGGCUUUACUACUUCAUUAAAAUCUCUGAUGACCUAUCUUGACAUGAAUGCAUCUUGCUUAUGAAGCACAAAUCCGAAUUGAUUGAAAUAUUCAAAUAAUUUCAUAAUGAGGU
rnacentral:lncRNA from 1 species